rnacentral:misc_RNA from 1 species
AGACUCCUUAGGUAGGCUUGAUGGCACAUCUUCAUGAUCAUCGUAAUCAUCUACACUGGUGUCCCCUUCAAAAUGCACAGACAUUGCAAGAAUUUCCAGCCUGCCCUGCAGAUUCCUCACCAUGACAUCACACUCCCGAAAGAAGCCUGGGUCUAAUUCACAAAUCUGCACAAUAUUUAAAUGUAAGCAAAGCCCAGAAGAAGAGAAGGCUCCUAAUACAUCUGAGAUGUUAUCAACAACUGAGACUACAUCGCCUUGACUUGAGAAAAGGGGGGAAAAGGAAGAAACUGCUAAUUAGAAUGUGAAAAAUGUGCAUUUUAAGGGAAAAAAAAGCCUAUUUAAUCUAGAAGAAAAAGAAUAGAAUUAAGUUGUGAUUGCACUCAAAUUUAGUUAGCAACUGUGGCUUUUGGUACAUCAAGCAAUUAAUUGUCAAAUUAAAAAGUAACAAUGCAUAACAAUUACAAACUUUGGCAGGCGUUGGCACCGUAAAUGUCUACAUCUAAUUGAGCUAGGAAAUGAAAAUAGUACAACUACAUGUGUAGAUGUUCUUAAGAGUGACAGUUCAAAAUAUAAUUCUCUCCAUCCUAUGAAGGAUGGGCUUAAUCCCAAAUCACAGUCCACAGAAUGAAUCUCAAUCCAACUUUAAUACACUUAAGUCCACCACAAUCAACAGAAACUAACCUAAGAAGUAGAAACAGCAAAAUCCCUUGAAACCUAACUUAAUCACAAGUUUAUUAAUAUGAUAGAUAUAUUUAAGAGGAGAAAAGGAAAAAUAACAAAUUAUUGAGAAUAAUCCUUUUAAAUUGUCUGUAAAUUCAUUGCAAACACAACUUCGAAUAAGCACAGAAUCCUACUUUCUGAAAAAGCACAGAAUCCUACUUAUGAAUUUGAAGGAGCGUACUAGGGGUUAUGGAGAAGGAUUAAAGGCAAUGAACAGAUAAAAAAAUAUAGAUCACAAGACAAGAGUGAAACUUAUAAGAGAUACACAAGGCAGAGUGAAACUUAC